rnacentral:snRNA from 1 species
AUACUUACCUGGCGUAGGGGACACCGUGAUCAACAAGGCGGUUCCCCCAGGGCGAGGCCUGUCCAUUGCACUGCGGACGGGUUGACCCUUGCGAUUACCCCUAAUGUGGGUAACUCGGACGCGUAAUUUUUGGUAGUGGGGACUGCGUACGCGCCGUCCCCC